CGAAAGCCUGACGGAGCAAUACCGCGUGAGGGAGGAAGGCUCUUGGGUCGUAAACCUCUUUUGUCAGGGAAGAAGAAAGUGACGGUACCUGAAGAAUCGGCAUCGGCUAACUCCGUGCCAGCAGCCGCGGUAAUACGGAGGAUGCAAGCGUUAUCCGGAAUUAUUGGGCGUAAAGCGUCCGCAGGUGGCUUAUCAAGUCUGCUGUCAAAGACAGUAGCUCAACUACUGCAAGGCAGUGGAAACUGAAUAGCUAGAGUGCGGUAGGGGCAGAGGGAAUUCCCGGUGUAGCGGUGAAAUGCGUAGAGAUCGGGAAGAACACCGGUGGCGAAAGCGCUCUGCUGGGCCGCAACUGACACUGAGGGACGAAAGCUAGGGGAGCG
rnacentral:rRNA from 1 species